UGGGGAAUAUUGCACAAUGGGGGAAACCCUGAUGCAGCGACGCCGCGUGAACGAAGAAGGUAUUCGUAUCGUAAAGUUCUGUCCUAUGGGAAGAUAAUGACAGUACCAUAGAAGAAAGCUCCGGCUAAAUCCGUGCCAGCAGCCGCGGUAAUACGUAUGGAGCGAGCGUGGUCCGGAAUUAUUGGGCGUAAAGGGUACGCAGGCGGUUUAAUAAGUCGAAUGUUAAAGAUCGGGGCUCAACCCCGCAAAGCAUUGGAAACUGAUAAACUUGAGUAGUGGAGAGGAAAGUGGAAUUCCUAGUGUAGUGGUGAAAUACGUAGAUAUUAGGAGGAAUACCAGUAGCGAAGGCGACUUUCUGGACACAAACUGACGCUGAGGUACGAAAGCGUGGGGAGCAAACAGG
rnacentral:rRNA from 1 species